rnacentral:rRNA from 1 species
UACGUAGGGUGCAAGCGUUAAUCGGAAUUACUGGGCGUAAAGCGUGCGCAGGCGGUUGUGCAAGACCGAUGUGAAAUCCCCGGGCUUAACCUGGGAAUGGCAUUGGUGACUGCACGGCUAGAGUGUGUCAGAGGGGGGUAGAAUUCCACGUGUAGCAGUGAAAUGCGUAGAGAUGCGGAGGAAUACCGAUGGCGAAGGCAGCCCCCUGGGAUAACACUGACGCUCAUGCACGAAAGCGUGGGGAGCAAACAGG